GUGAGGAAUAUUGGGCAAUGGACGCAAGUCUGACCCAGCCAUGCCGCGUGCAGGAUGACAGCCUUAUGGGUUGUAAACUGCUUUUGUUUGGGAAGAACACUAUGUACGUGUACGUAGGUGACGGUACCAGACGAAUAAGCAUCGGCUAACUCCGUGCCAGCAGCCGCGGUAAUACGGAGGAUGCAAGCGUUAUCCGGAUUUAUUGGGUUUAAAGGGUGCGCAGGCGGACCUAUAAGUCAGCGGUGAAAUCUCUCGGCUCAACCGAGAAACUGCCAUUGAUACUGUAGGUCUAGAGUUUAUUUGACGUGGGCGGAAUGUAGCAUGUAGCGGUGAAAUGCUUAGAUAUGCUACAGAACACCGAUUGCGAAGGCAGCUCACGAAACUAAAACUGACGCUCAUGCACGAAAGCGUGGGGAGCAAACAGGAUUAGAUACCCUGGUAGUCCACGCUGUAAACGAUGAUCACUCGCUGUUGGCGAUAAACAGUCAGCGGCCAAGCGAAAGUGUUAAGUGAUCCACCUGGGGAGUACGCUCGCAAGAGUG
rnacentral:rRNA from 1 species